rnacentral:rRNA from 1 species
GACAGAGGUGGCGACCGUUGUUCGGAAUCACUGGGCAUAAAGCGCGUGUAGGCGGCGAAGAAAGUCGGGUGUGAAAUCCCUCGGCCUAACCGAGGAAUUGCGCCCGAAACUUCUUUGCUUGAGGACAGGAGGGGAGCUUGGAAUUCCUGGUGGAGCGGUGAAAUGCGUUGAUAUCAGGAGGAACACCGGCGGCGAAGGCGAAGCUCUGGCCUGUUUCUGACGCUGAGACGCGAAAGCUAGGGGAGCAAACAGG